UGUGCCAGCAGCCGCGGUAACACCAGCGGCACGAGUGGCAAUCGGCAUUAUUGGGCCUAAAGCGUCCGUAGCUGGAUAUAUACAUCCCUUGUGAAAUCAUCGAGCUUAACUCGAUGGCAUGCGGGGGACACGGUAUAUCUUGGGAGUGGGAGGAGUCAGAGGUAUUCGAUGGGGACCGGUAAAAUGGUAUAAUCCGUCGAAGACCGCCGAUGGCGAAGGCAUCUGACUAGAACACGUCCGACAGUGAGGGACGAAAGCCAGGGGAGCGAACCGGAUUAGAUACCCGAGUAGUCCUGGCCGUAAACGCUGCGAGUUAGGCGUUGCACUACUCAUGAAGUUGUGCAGUGUCGAAGCGAAGGCAUUAAACUCGCCGCCUGGGGAGUACGGUCGCAAGGCUGAAACUCAAAGGAAUU
rnacentral:rRNA from 1 species